GCCAUGCCAAAAUGAUAGGAGCUUGCUUUUAAAUGUAUUUUUAUACGUAUUUUGUCAUACUUCUUUAUGAACAAGAGUGGCAAUUAAUUUUCCAUGCAGCUUGCAUGUGGCCACGCCUCCCCGCCGCCCUCAAAAAGUGCAAAAUAAACACACUGAGCGAAUAUGCGGCCCACGGUGUGGUUCAUUCAACUGGUAAUCGCUGGACGAGGAAUGCAGGACAAAGGACGAAGGACGCAGGACGCAGGACGUGCUCAUGUUUUGCGGCGCAUAAACCAAAUGAGUGGAGCCCUCAGCUGUUAGCAGUUAACAGUUAACAGAGGACAGAGGACAGAGGACAGUGGCGUGUUAUUGGGUCAAAGAUGGGGGGUCAAAAGGGUACGAGGACAUUUGCCAAUUAUUUUGAAACAAAUUGUCAAUAAAUGGAACAGAACUUUUA